rnacentral:tRNA from 1 species
GGCGCGGUGGACGAAAGGUAGAGUCGCCCGGCUUUCACCCGGGACAUGUGCGGGUUCGAAUCCCGUCCGCGCUGCC